AUAAACGACUCUCGGCAACGGAUAUCUCGGCUCACGCAUCGAUGAAGAACGUAGCAAAAUGCGAUACUUGGUGUGAAUUGCAGAAUCCCCUGAACCAUCGAGUUUUUGAACGCAAGUUGCGCCCGAAGCCAUUCGGCCGAGGGCACGUCUGCCUGGGCGUCACG
rnacentral:rRNA from 1 species